rnacentral:rRNA from 1 species
UGGGGAAUUUUCCGCAAUGGGCGCAAGCCUGACGGAGCAAUACCGCGUGAGGGAGGAAGGCUUUUGGGUUGUAAACCUCUUUUCUCAAGGAAGAAACAAAUGACGGUACUUGAGGAAUCAGCAUCGGCUAACUCCGUGCCAGCAGCCGCGGUAAUACGGAGGAUGCAAGCGUUAUCCGGAUUAAUUGGGCGUAAAGCGUCCGCAGGUGGUUAUUCAAGUCUGCUGUCAAAGACCGAAGCUUAACUUCGGGCAGGCGGUGGAAACUGAAUCACUAGAGUACGGUAGGGGUAGAGGGAAUUUCCAGCGUAGCGGUGAAAUGCGUAGAGAUUGGAAAGAACACCAGUGGCGAAGGCGCUCUACUUGACCUGUACUGACACUCAGGGACGAAAGCUAGGGGACCGAAAGGGAUUAGAUACCCCCGUAGUCC